GAUGAAGAACGUAGCGAAAUGCGAUAAGUAAUGUGAAUUGCAGAAUUCAGUGAAUCAUCGAAUCUUUGAACGCACAUUGCGCCCGCCAGUAUUCUGGCGGGCAUGCCUGUUCGAGCGUCAUUUCAACCAUCAAGCCCUGCUUGCGUUGGGGUCCUGCGGCUGCCCGCAGGCCCUGAAAACCAGUGGCGGGCUCGCUAGUCACACCGAGCGCAGUAAUACAUCUCGCUUUGGGCGUGCGGCGGGUUCUUGCCGUAAAACAACCCCCCCUUUUCACCAAGGUUGACCUCGGAUCAGGUAGGAAUACCCGCUGAACUUAAGCAUAUCAAUAAGCGGAGGA
rnacentral:misc_RNA from 1 species